AUCGCUUCUCGGCCUUUUAGCUAAGAUCAAGUGUAGUAUCUGUUCUUAUCAAUUUAAUAUCUGACAUGUCCUCUGUCUGAGGACAAUAUAUUAAAUGGAUUUUUGGAGCGGGGAGUCAGAAUAGGGGUUGGCUCCAUCCACUCCAUGCAUCGACCUGGUUUUGCAGUACUUCCAGGAACGGUGCACCCCUU
rfam:Erinaceus europaeus unplaced genomic scaffold scaffold00034, whole genome shotgun sequence